GACGAACGCUGGCGGCGUGCUUAACACAUGCAAGUCGAACGAUGAAGCCGGAGCUUGCUCCGGUGGAUUAGUGGCGAACGGGUGAGUAACACGUGAGCAAUCUGCCCUUGACUCUGGGAUAACUGCGGGAAACUGUAGCUAAUACCGGAUACGACACCUUGGGGCAUCCCAGGGGGUGGAAAGAAUUUCGGUCAAGGAUGAGCUCGCGGCCUAUCAGCUAGUUGGUGAGGUAAUGGCUCACCAAGGCGACGACGGGUAGCCGGCCUGAGAGGGUGACCGGCCACACUGGGACUGAGACACGGUCCAGACUCCUACGGGAGGCAGCAGUGGGGAAUAUUGCACAAUGGGCGAAAGCCUGAUGCAGCAACGCCGCGUGAGGGAUGAAGGCCUUCGGGUUGUAAACCUCUUUUAGCAGGGAAGAAGCGAAAGUGACGGUACCUGCAGAAAAAGCACCGGCUAACUACGUGCCAGCCGCCGCAGUAA
rnacentral:rRNA from 1 species